rnacentral:sRNA from 1 species
UUCAUCGAGUUUACGUAGAGUAUCGAUGUUGCGAUCUAGAAUAGUGACAUCGGCACGUAGGCCAAUAGCCAUACGGGCUGCGUUAGCGCCGACUACACCGCCGCCGAGUACUACGACUUUUGCAGGAGCAACACCGGGAACGCCACCGAG